AGUCGAAGCUAAAUAAAUCAAAUCCGGAAUGAAGGUCUUAAUAGCGCCGCACCAGAAGAAUUCGUCAAAUCGCAGCUGAACAGACCAGUCAGCUUCAAACCUUCGUUUGAAGCCCCAAACGUCCUCAAAUCAUAUUUUGCCCAGAAAUACGACUUCUUCGUCUUCGAGAGAGCUUUCCGUGGCCGCCUGUUUCGCUUGAAUCGGAGUUCUGUGGAGGAAGUUAUGGCCGUUCUCCCGAAACUGCCAGAACUUGAUUUCCUGCGAAAAUCUGACUCCAGCUCAGAUCUUCUGCCUACACGUUUCUG
rnacentral:lncRNA from 1 species